UACGUAGGGAGCAAGCGUUGUCCGGAAUCAUUGGGCGUAAAGCGCGCGUAGGUGGCCACAUAAGUCCGUUGUGAAAGUCAAAGGCUCAACCUUUGAAAGCCGAUGGAUACUGUGUGGCUAGAGUACGGAAGAGGCGAGUGGAAUUCCUGGUGUAGCGGUGGAAUGCGCAGAUAUCAGGAGGAACACCCGUGGCGAAAGCGGCUCUCUGGAACGGUACUGACGCUGAGACGCGAAAGCGUGGGGAGCGAACAGG
rnacentral:rRNA from 1 species